rnacentral:rRNA from 1 species
AGAGUUUGAUCAUGGCUCAGGACGAACGCUGGCGGCGUGCCUAAUACAUGCAAGUAGAACGCUGAAGAGAGGAGCUUGCUCUUCUUGGAUGAGUUGCGAACGGGUGAGUAACGCGUAGGUAACCUGCCUUGUAGCGGGGGAUAACUAUUGGAAACGAUAGCUAAUACCGCAUAACAAUGGAUGACACAUGUCAUUUAUUUGAAAGGGGCAAUUGCUCCACUACAAGAUGGACCUGCGUUGUAUUAGCUAGUAGGUGAGGUAAUGGCUCACCUAGGCGACGAUACAUAGCCGACCUGGGAGGGUGAUCGGCCACACUGGGACUGAGACACGGCCCAGACUCCUACGGGAGGCAGCAGUAGGGAAUCUUCGGCAAUGGGGGCAACCCUGACCGAGCAACGCCGCGUGAGUGAAGAAGGUUUUCGGAUCGUAAAGCUCUGUUGUAAGUCAAGAACGGGUGUGAGAGUGGAAAGUUCACACUGUGACGGUAGCUUACCAGAAAGGGACGGCUAACUACGUGCCAGCAGCCGCGGUAAUACGUAGGUCCCGAGCGUUGUCCGGAUUUAUUGGGCGUAAAGCGAGCGCAGGCGGUUUGAUAAGUCUGAAGUUAAAGGCUGUGGCUCAACCAUAGUUCGCUUUGGAAACUGUCAAACUUGAGUGCAGAAGGGGAGAGUGGAAUUCCAUGUGUAGCGGUGAAAUGCGUAGAUAUAUGGAGGAACACCGGUGGCGAAAGCGGCUCUCUGGUCUGUAACUGACGCUGAGGCUCGAAAGCGUGGGGAGCGAACAGGAUUAGAUACCCUGGUAGUCCACGCCGUAAACGAUGAGUGCUAGGUGUUGGAUCAUUUCCGGGAUUCAGUGCCGCAGCUAACGCAUUAAGCACUCCGCCUGGGGAGUACGACCGCAAGGUUGAAACUCAAAGGAAUUGACGGGGGCCCGCACAAGCGGUGGAGCAUGUGGUUUAAUUCGAAGCAACGCGAAGAACCUUACCAGGUCUUGACAUCCCGAUGCUAUUUCUAGAGAUAGAAAGUUACUUCGGUACAUCGGUGACAGGUGGUGCAUGGUUGUCGUCAGCUCGUGUCGUGAGAUGUUGGGUUAAGUCCCGCAACGAGCGCAACCCCUAUUGUUAGUUGCCAUCAUUCAGUUGGGCACUCUAGCGAGACUGCCGGUAAUAAACCGGAGGAAGGUGGGGAUGACGUCAAAUCAUCAUGCCCCUUAUGACCUGGGCUACACACGUGCUACAAUGGUUGGUACAACGAGUUGCGAGUCGGUGACGGCGAGCUAAUCUCUUAAAGCCAAUCUCAGUUCGGAUUGUAGGCUGCAACUCGCCUACAUGAAGUCGGAAUCGCUAGUAAUCGCGGAUCAGCACGCCGCGGUGAAUACGUUCCCGGGCCUUGUACACACCGCCCGUCACACCACGAGAGUUUGUAACACCCGAAGUCGGUGAGGUAACCUUUUGGAGCCAGCCGCCUAAGGUGGGACAGAUGAUUGGGGUGAAGUCGUAACAAGGUA